CCGGCCGGGCCGCUGCAGGCCGCGCGGGGAGGGCGGCUCCGGUGUCGGUGUCGGAGCGCUGGGGUGAGAAAAUAAUUACAAAUGAAAGAGAGAUUAGCAGGGGCUGUUGCGACAAAUGCUGCCGAAAUGGUUUCUGGAGCGCCGGCGGAACCUUCUAACGGGAGGGAUCGGAGCAGCUGCCGUCCCGUGGGGCGUGGGGAAACAGGGAUCCCUCUGGGACCCCGGAAUGAGAGCCUAAAACCUGACAAACCGCGGCUCAGGGGGAUGAGAUGUCAGACCAGGGCAGCCUCACGUCAUACAAAUGGACUGACUCUCAGUUUUGCCUGGUGAGAGGAGAUACUGCCCGUGUCACUGUCAGAAAUAGUACAGGACAAGGAGAAAUGUUUUGGUAAAACUACCCACUGCAUCUGACCCUGCUGGGCCUUCGCAGCUUUGUGUCUCCAGUAACUUCACAGUCCCUCAGAGAUGUUUCUUCCACUCUAGGUGUUGAUGAUGAAGGUGUCUCCACCAAAAUGCCUCUUGUUUAUUGGUGACAUGGGUAUGGACAGCGGGGCCCAGCCCUGCUGGAGAGGUGACAUUCCUGCAUCUGCCACUGCGAUGUGCACUUGCUCCAUCACUGCGGAAUGGCAGCUGGAAGGAGGGGGAAAAUCCCCAAAUCCAACCUCCCAGGAUGAGAAGAUUUAAUUUUGGCUAGCUCCCGGGGACAAUAUUGACGGCACAGCCCUAAGGGCCACCCAGCUCCCUGCACCUCUCCCAGGUGGCUCACUCUCCACGUGAGGUGGUUUCGGGGAGCAUUUAAUUGCCUUCCUGCUUUUUUUUUUCACUCCACUUCAGCUGUGAGUUGUUUUUUUACCCUGUUAAAAUUUCCCAUGGAGUUUUACCCUCUUUGGGGUCCCUUUUGGGUGCUGUUGCUGUCACUUUUAUCCCUCACCACCUCUCCCUGCACCUCUCUCUCUGUUGUCUGUCACUGUUUCCUCACCCUCUGCCUUCUCCUUCCUUUCCAUUACUCUUCUCUGGAUACAUAAUUUUCCUUUUAAUGAUCUUCUGUCCCUUAUUAAUGCUUUUUCCAUGUCCAAGCACGCUCCAGCCCUGGCAUCCAGCUGGGACUGAUGCAGUUGGAAUCACAUCGUGGCUGAGCUCUCCCUGCUUUCAUUUCAUUCUCUCCUAUUCUUACCCAGCUGGGGUCUCAGAUCUGUUCAUGGGGGGAUGUAACAGAAGCCUUUGGGGUUUCCCUUUGCUUAUGUCUGCCUUCCUUUCCAAGCUGUGCCCCAAAGCAAUCCCUUUCCAGCCUGGCUGUGCACGGAUGCUGUGUGCUCCCCACAGCUGCAGAUGUGCCGUAUCGGAUUUAUUCACCUCCUCCUUUUGCCAUCUGGCAAACUCCUUCCUGGACAUCUUUGUGAGGGAACAGAGUGUUUGCAAGAAUUAGGUCACAUUUGGGCAGAGUUUAAAGGGUCCCUUGCCAUCCCCUUUGUUUUUUUCCCAAUCUGUACCUCCCCAGGGCUGUAUUUCCAUUGCUGAAGGUCAAUAAAUAUCCUACCCACAAAUAUCCUCCCUAUCCCACAGUGUGUGGGGAAUAAAGCUGCCCAUGGAGAGGGAUAAAUUUAGGUGAUGGUGCUUUGGAGCAGCUGCAGGUCUCUGCCCCUUCCCCUGUUCCAAGGUACUUCAGCAUCACUGGAGAUCUGGGUUGCACGCGAUGGGUGAGUGCUCAGUGACAAACAGCCCUGAGAUGGGAGGAUGCUCUGAAGGGAUCCUUCCCUGGGUGCCAGGAAGGCUGAGGGAGAUUCCACCGGGAGGUGGCUCACUUAGAAAUGGGAGGAUGUAGAUACAAACCCAUUUUCCUGCAGACCCAUUGCCUACAGUGGGUGCUGCAUCCCACAGCACCUGCUCCUUUAGGAAGGUUUCGUGGGUGCAGGAGGAGGGGAAGGAACACAAGGUGUCAUUAUUUCAGCUGGAAAACACAUCGAUAUCCCAGUGAGGGAGCAGGUAAAUAUCUGUGCCUGGCCAGUGUUCCAGCUUGCUUUCCCAUUUUCCUGCCUCUGCAGAUUGCAGGCAGCUUGUGCACUCAUCCCUCCGGAUG